AUGCUCACUUUGGCAGCACAUAUACUAAAAUUGAAAUGAUAGAAAAUUAGCACGGUUUCUGUGUAAGGAUAACACACAAGUUCAUGAGGUGUUGAACACCAUAUUUUU